CUCGAGCGGAAGUUACGGAGAACCUCGAAGUCCACAAGAGCCGAAGUUGACAACUGGACUCUCAGUUGAUUAAAAAUUGCUGAGGAAGAUUAUGCUGCUUAUCUUACUCUGCCACCCGCUGGAAUCACACUGUAGGCCAGAAUCUGUGUCUAAUGACAUCCAGAGAGCAGAACAGCGUGUGAUAUUUUCAACACAGACGUCUCGCUUCUGAAAGAAAGUGCCACUGUCUCACUAUUCAGACUGCUGCAGACGACAACCUGUUCCAGCAUCAGCCACUCGCCCAUGAUGUGUCUCGCUCUCAUUAGUACAUCCAUGUGCUCCGCAUUCCCGUGUUCUCCCGCUGUACUGUGGAUAUUGUGAAGGCUGUGGCUCUUUAAAGUGGAGGAAGAUGAAGAGAAGACGAGGAUGACGAUUAGGGCUCUUUAAAAUGAUGAAAUUAGCGUUAGGGUUGAUGUGACAUUUCAAGUCUUGUCAACAGCGUCCUGCAGUGACAUGUCAUACAUCAUCUAAAACUAUACUUUAAAGAACAUUUUUCAAUUCUUGUAUAAUUAUUGACUACCCAUAUGCAGUAUAUCCAACUAUAUUAAUAUUAUUGAGAUAAUGACCAUAUUAAUAUUAAAUAAUGAACCCUUCAUGGACAAUUUUUAUUGAGAAUUGUGGUUGUACACUGUUAGACAUUUCUGUAAUUUUUACAGUUAUUUACUUUAUAUCACCCAGUAUGAUACAGCAAUUUCUCUAUGCAGUAAAUAACUGUAAUUUCCAUUGCAUUGUGGGAAUUUUGUGUGAGGUCAAACACUAAAUACAGUGAUUUACUGUAUUUUUAAAAUUUGAUGUAUUUUACUGUAUUUCCCCUAACGGUCUUUAAACAGACAGUAAUUAUUUUGCUCAUUUCCGAGGGAUAGCAUAUAGGCUUUGCCCUGCGUUUUGAAAAAGGAACCCGACAGCAGCACGGAGAAGGUUUAUACCGGGGAAGUAUGUUUGAGAGACACAGUUCUGGGAAACACCUGACCUGAGCUGAAGAUGUAACGGUGUGUUUUCGGCGGAGCUGAGAGGGACAUUGCCAUUUCAGCGAAUAUUUUAUACCUGAGAGAACCGCACGUUUUCGACGGAGCUGAGAGAGCCGUAAAACGAAGAACGAUUUUUAUUCCCAUGAGAGCAAAAAGCAAGAAGAAAGAAAGUCAUGCAGGUCUGAAAUGACAAGAGGAUUUUUAGUGAGGAUAAAUCCAGAGGAUGGAACAAAGUGCACCGCAAAGACUGGAGUGAGUCGAAAGACAGGCGAAAUUGUGAAGAGAAAAACAACAGCUAUUAACACCAGGGUAUCAUCCUUCCUUCGCCACCUCACGGAAUUUGAGUCGUAUUUGAUGUACAGGGUUUGCCUGAUAACACAGCAUCAGAAAGAGACAUGUAACCUUCUGCAACCCACACCCCUCCUGCGUCCUUCUGCUCACCAUCCAUCCUUUAUCUCCAAAGUCCCUUCCAAGGAAACAGACAUUCAUCGCUUAAUAAAAUGCUUUGUUUUACUUAUGUAGCUGUUGGCUCCUGAUUGCCCUUAAAUUGAACUAGAGUACACCAACUUAGAAUUGUCAUUAAACAAAAUGCCACUUUGAUUUUAUACCGAAAAUACAGUAUGUUUACUGUUAUUUAUAUUUAUUUUCUUCACAUUUGUUGCUGUUAACUGCUGUUUGAUGCAGUUAAUGGUGAAUUCCAUUUAAAAUCAGUUCUGUAUGCAGUCCAUAGACAAUUCUAUACAAUCA